UCCUGCAGCAAUAUAGUAAAAUACUAAAAUUGAAAUGAUACAAAGAAGAUUAUCAUGGCCCCUUUUACAAGGAUGACAUGCAAAUUUGCGAAGCAAUCAAUAAAUUA